GUCGAUGUGGCUCAGCCUGGUUAGAGCGCAUGACUCAUAAUCAUGAGGCCGAGGGUUCAAAUCCCUCUAUCGACACCA
rnacentral:tRNA from 1 species